UCGCAGCAUCCCUUCGAUCCCUGCCACCAGGAUGAGGAUUGUCGUCGUCAUGGUUCCCUACAAGCAAAAUGUCUGACAGCAGCAGAGUUGGGAUUCACGCUGGCCGCCCUCAUACCUGCUAGAUACUGUCUUAUAGCAUGCAGCUGGGAGGCUUCUGUCUGAGCAACAUCGAGUGUCUAGGCUUUGCCGGAGCUCAGGGCUCCGUGUUGAACGGUCCGUGGUACUGCGACACCUACUCACACACCUGCGUCUGUCACCCACUCGUCACCAAGACUCAGUGCUCCACUCGCUACGCACCAGGAAACCUGUCACCAGCACCAUCAGAAAUAUAAACCUAGAAGGCUGAGCAUGCAUCAAACCUCCCGAUACAUGCCAAUCUAAAGACUGUCUGUGUAACGCAUGGGCGACCAUUUCCUAUUUUGCCCAACAAGAGAAAAUCAAAAACAGUAAAUCUACCUCGGCAAUGCAUAGCAUCUCGCCACGUAGCGUGCCAAACAUGGGAGAACACUGGCAUGAUAAACUGUUAACUCUUUACUCCCUGGUCAUCAUCAACAUCAUCAUCAUCAUCAUCAUCAUCAUCAUCAUCG